GGGACUUGUAUGAAUGGCCACACGAGGGCUUUACUGUCUCUUACUUCCAAUCCGUGAAAUUGACCUUCCCGUGAAGAGGCGGGAAUACAACAACAAGACGAGAAGACCCUAUGGAGCUUUAAUUAACCGACCCAAAGAGACCCUAUUAACUUAACCGACAGGAACAACAAACCUCUACAUGGGCCGACAAUUUAGGUUGGGGUGACCUCGGAGAAUAAAAAAACCUCCGAGUGAUUUAAAUCAAGACUAACCAGUCAAAAGUAUUACAUCACUUAUUGAUCCAAAAACUUGAUCAACGGAAUAAGUUACCCUAGGGAUAACAGCGCAAUCCUAUUUCAGAGUUCAUAUCGACAAUAGGGUUUACGAC
rnacentral:rRNA from 1 species